UACAGAGGUCUCAAGCGUUGUUCGGAUUCAUUGGGCGUAAAGGGUGCGUAGGUGGCGUCGUAAGUCAGGUGUGAAAUCUCGGGGCUUAACUCCGAAACUGCAUUUGAUACUGCGGUGCUUGAGGGACUGGAGAGGAGACUGGAAUUUACGGUGUAGCAGUGAAAUGCGUAGAGAUCGUAAGGAAGACCAGUGGCGAAGGCGGGUCUCUGGACAGUUCCUGACACUGAGGCACGAAGGCCAGGGGAGCAAACGGG
rnacentral:rRNA from 1 species